UACGUAGGGAGCAAGCGUUGUCCGGAAUCAUUGGGCGUAAAGCGCGCGUAGGCGGCCCUGUAAGUCCGUUGUGAAAGUCAAAGGCUCAACCUUUGAAAGCCGAUGGAUACUGCAGGGCUAGAGUCCGGAAGAGGCGAGUGGAAUUCCUGGUGUAGCGGUGAAAUGCGCAGAUAUCAGGAGGAACACCGGUGGCGAAGGCGGGUCUCUGGGCCGUAACUGACGCUGAGGAGCGAAAGCAUGGGGAGCGAACAGG
rnacentral:rRNA from 1 species